rnacentral:snRNA from 1 species
GGAUGUGAAGGUGAUCUAGCUGUGACUUCCAGCGUUGAUUCAGCUUAUCUGGCUGCCUAGGUGGUCGUCCCCUCCCUCCCGCACUGUCCCAUGUGCACCCCUCCCAAAUGUAUGCUCUCAGACAAGGAAGACAACUUUCUUGGAACACACAGGCUGAUAUUUAGCCAAGGGUAGCUAUGUUCCCCUACUUGAGCCUCCAAACAAGUUUCAAGGCCCAUGAAGGUUAUAUACCUGGUAUCACAGUUUUGGAGUACUGAAGAAAAACCUAUGUGGAUUCAGUCUUAAUUAGAUACUAUUAAACAACCUGAGCCUUUUUUUUUU